rnacentral:rRNA from 1 species
GACAGAGGGGGCAAGCGUUGCUCGGAAUCACUGGGCGUAAAGGGCGCGUAGGCGGGAUGGCAAGUCAGUCGUGAAAUCUCUCGGCUCAACCGAGAAACGUCGGCUGAUACUGCCGUUCUUGAGGGAUGCAGAGGAGACUGGAAUUCCUGGUGUAGCGGUGAAAUGCGUAGAUAUCUGGAGGAACACCGGUGGCGAAGGCGGCAUCCUGGACCGACACUGACGCUGAGGCGCGAAAGCUAGGGUAGCAAACGGG